rnacentral:rRNA from 1 species
CCUACGGGUGGCUGCAGUGGGGAAUAUUGGACAAUGGGGGCAACCCUGAUCCAGCCAUGCCGCGUGUGUGAAGAAGGCCCUCGGGUUGUAAAGCACUUUCAGUGAGGAAGAACGCCUGGUGGUUAAUACCCAUCAGGAAAGACAUCACUCACAGAAGAAGCACCGGCUAACUCCGUGCCAGCAGCCGCGGUAAUACGGAGGGUGCGAGCGUUAAUCGGAAUUACUGGGCGUAAAGCGCGCGUAGGUGGCUUGAUAAGCCGGUUGUGAAAGCCCCGGGCUCAACCUGGGUACGGCAUCCGGAACUGUCAAGCUAGAGUGCAGGAGAGGAAGGUAGAAUUCCCGGUGUAGCGGUGAAAUGCGUAGAGAUCGGGAGGAAUACCAGUGGCGAAGGCGGCCUUCUGGACUGACACUGACACUGAGGUGCGAAAGCGUGGGUAGCAAACAGGAUUAGAUACCCCAGUAGAC